GAGGGUACAGCUCAAGUGGUAGAGCACGUGCUUUAGCACGCACAAGGUCCUGGGUUCAAUCCCCAGUGCCUCCA
rnacentral:tRNA from 1 species